GCAUGUAUCUUUUUGAGUUAGUAUUCCCGAUUUUUUGGAUAUAUACCAGGAGUGGAAUUGCUUGAUUUUAUGGUAGUUCUAUUUUUAGUUUUUGAGGAACCUCCAUACUGUUUUCCAUAGUGUCCGCACCACUUUACCUUCCCAGGGUUCUCUUUUCUCUGCAUCCUCUCCAGCAUUUGUUGUUUGUUAGAUUUUUUCUUUUUUCAUUUUUGGCUACCCUGUGGCCUUCGGAGCUCCCAGGCCAGAGAUCAAAUCCGAGCUAUAGUUGCGACCUAAGCCACAGUUGCGGCAAUGCCAGACCCUUAACCCAGUCUGCCAGGCCAGGGAUCAAAUCCACGUCCCCACGUUCCCAGGGCACUGCUGAUCCCACUGUGCCACAGCAGGCGCUCCUGUGGACUUCCUGAUCAUGGCCAUUUUGACUUGUGUGAGCUGGUACCUUACUGUGGUUUCGAUUUGCAUUUAUCUAAAAUUAGUGAUGUUGGAGUUCCCGUGGCAGUGCAUUGGAAACGAAUCCGACUAGGAACCAUGAGGUUGUGAGUUCAAUCCCUGGCCUCAUUCAGGGGGUUAAGGAUCUGGUGUUGCUGAUCUGAGCUGUGUCUUCAACCUACACCACAGCUCACGGCAACGCCAGAUCCUUAACCCACUGAGCAAGGCCAGGGGUCAAACCCUCAACCUCAUGGUUCCUCGUCGGAUUUGUUUCCACUGCGCCUCAAUGGGAACUCCGGUCACCUUUCUUUAAACAGUUGGUUGAGAUCAGCAUUCAAACAUGAUGCACACAGUGCAUUAAAAAUAGCUUUGUCAGAGUUUCCAUGGUGGCUCAGUGGCAACGAGCAUGCCUAGGAUCCAUGAGGAUUCGGGUUCGAUCCUUUGCCUCGAUCAGUGGGUUAAGGAUCUGGCGUUGCUCUGAGCGGUGGUGUAGGUCGCAGACGUGGCUUGGAUCCUGCGUUGCGGUGGCUCUGGCGUAGGCCGGCAGCUGCAAGCUCUGAUUCGACUCCUAGCCUGGGAACUUAUAUAUGCCACAAGGUGCGGACCUAAAAGCAAAAAAAUAAAAAAAGCUUUAUUGUGGUAUAAUUGACAUUCAGUAAACUGUUAUAUUUAAAGUGUACGGUUUGAUUAGUGUCGACACAUGUAUCCACCAGUGAGAUUAUCGCCACAGUCGGGAUACUGGAUAUAUCAUUACCUCCCAUUUCCUCUGGCCUCUUCGUGAUUUCUCUCACCUGCCCCUCCUCCCCCAAGCAACCACUCAUCUGCUUUCUAUCGCUGGAGAUUAGUUUGUAUUUUCUAAAGUUUUCUGUAAAUGGGAUCUCAAAUUAUGUACUAUUUCUUAAACAUUUAUUUAUUUUAUGGCUGCACCCAUGGCAUGUGGAAGUUUCCAGGCUGGGGAUUGAAUCUGAGCCGUGGCUGUGAUCUACAUCACAGCUUAGCAGUUGGGGAUGCUUAACCCACUGUGCUUGGCCCAGGAUUGAACCUGAGCCCCUCCAGCCACUCAGGCUGCUGCAUUUGGAUUUUUAAUUCCCUGCGCUACAGCGGGAGCUCCAGUUAUGUACUGUUUUGUCUGGCUUCUUUCAACACAGUUAUCUUGAGACUCAUCCACAGUUGCAUGUAUCAGUUGAUUCGUCUUUUUUAUUGCUGACUGGUAGUACCUUGUGUGGCUACACCACAGCUUUUUUAUUCACUCACCUCUUGGUGGACAUUUGAGUUAUUUCCAUUGUUCGGCUUUGACAAAUAAAGCUGCCAUGAAUAUUUGUGUACAAGUGUGUACACAGUAAAAGAUUUCUUUUUCUUGUGGGUAAAUGCUCAGGAAUGAAUCAUAUAACAGUUGUACACUUAAGUUUUUAAGGAAACAGCAAACUUUUCCAAAGUGGUUUUACAGUUUCACAUUCUCACCAGCAGUGUAUAGAGUUCCAGUUGCUCUCUAACCUAACAUGUGAUACGGUUAGACAUUCUGCUAGCUGUGUAGUGGCAUUAGCUUAUGUUUGCCUAUGGACACAUAUCUCGAACACUUUAAAAAGUACGCUUAUUUGCCAUCCGCAUAGUUUCUUUGGUGAAAUGACAGUUCACUUACGCAUCUGGCUGCAUGGCCUGAAAACACUAUCAAAGCAGGGGAUGGGGACCGCUGUGGGGCUUAUCUCUUUUGUUCCCAUCUUUUAGGAUCACUGAUGUCUGCUGUCCCAAAGACCAGUGUUCUGUGUAUUUUGUUUGUAUUUUCAAGGAGGAGGGGAAAUUUGGUCUCUGUGACGUCCAUCUUGGCCAAAGCACAAAUGAAUUUUAUUUUAUUUUUAUUUUUUGUAUUUUUGUCUUUUCAGGGCUGCACUCAAGGCAUAUGGAGGUUCCCAGGCUAGGGGUCUAAUUGGAACUGUAGCCGCUGGCCUACACCACAGCCAUGCCAGAUCCGAGCCGCGUCUGCGACCUACACCGUAGCUCACGGCAGUGCCGGAUCCUUAACCCACUGAGUGUGUGUGUGAACAUAGAUUUCUUUUUCUUGUGGGUAAAUGCUCAGGAGUGAAUCAUAUAGUAGUUGUACACUUAAGUACACUGAGUGAGGUCAGGGAUCAAACCUGCAACCUCAUGGUUCCUAGUCAGAUUCAUUUCCACUGUGCCACGAUGGGAACCCCUAUUUAUUUAUUCAUUUAUUUAUUUUUGCUUUUCAGGACCACACCUGUGGCACAUGGAAGUUUCCAGGCUAGGGGUCUAAGCAGAACUGUAGCUGGCGGGCUACGCUGCAGCCACAGCAACACCAGAUCUGAUCCACAUCUGUAACCUACACCACAUACAGCUCCAACCUAACACUGCAUCCUUAACCCACUGAGUGAGGCCAAGGAUUGAAUCUGUGUCCUCAUGGAUACAAGUUGGGUUUGUAAUCCUCUGAGCCACAGCAGGAACUCCCUGUGCUGUGGCUCAGUGGCUAAUUUGCUCCUUUGUUCUUUAUAUUUUCUGUAAACUGGUAGUUAAAUUUAGAGGAUUGAUCGUUUUCAAAUUAAAAUUAUUUUUGCAAGAAUAAUUCGUAGGAGAUAUUUUGCCCAUCCUGUUUAAAAUGAAAACCCUUGCUGCACUCCAGUUCCCUAACCUGCUAUAGUGCUUUUAUUUUCACAGGACCCGGCAGCAUAGUACAAGUGUUCAUGUUUAAUAUCUGAUCUAAAAUUUAAACUCCAUAAAGGCACAGUUCUUUGUUUUCUAUAUUGCUCUAUCUCCAGAAGUCUAGAUCAUUGUUCAGCACGUGGUUGGCACAAAGUAAAAAUCUUUUGGAUUAAUGAGUGAGUGAGAUACAAAGGUGCAGAAUUGGUAAGCUGUCAUUACCCUCAUUACCAUUCGUGGAAAAGUAACAUUUUCUUUUGUUAGAAUAAUUGUGCUUAAUAACAUUAUUAAAGACAUUGUAGGAGUUCCCAUCGUGGUGCAGCAGAGAGUCCGACAAGGAACCAUGAGGUUGUGGGUUCGAUCCCAGGGCUCGGAUCUGGCAUUGCUGUGGCUGAUGUGUAGGCCAGCAUCUGUAGCUCCGAUUCAAUCCUUAGCCUGGGAACCUCUCCACAUGCCUCUAGUGCGGCCCUUUUUAAAAAGCGGAAAAAAAAAAAAAGAAAAAAAA
rnacentral:lncRNA from 1 species